GGAGAGGUGGCCGAGUGGCUGAAGGCACGCGCUUGCUAAGCGCGCGAUGGGGAAACUCAUCCGCGGGUUCGAAUCCCGCCCUCUCCG
rnacentral:tRNA from 1 species